UGUUGAAUCUCAAUUUGAGGAUGUUAAGGUCCUGUUGCCUCGAAUUUAGAGUUGGCACUGGAAAGAUUGUUUCCAUCAUUGGAAUGCUUUUUUAGCCAAUGUAUUUAGGAUGCCCUUGGCAGUAGUCCUUGAGCGGAGAAGUUCUUUCAAAAUUAAUUGCUUGGGCAUUAAUCAUACCUGGCACAAUUAGGUCUGCUUAAGUGGAAAUGUGAGGCUAUAUGAUUUCUUUUAGUACUUUUUUUCUGAUAUAUGCUGGUCCUUUAUUAUUUAUGCUAUGUUUGGAAAGGGUGUAACUGGGAGGAAAUAAAAUUGAGGAAAAGUUUGAAAACGAUUACACAUUUCCCUUGUUUGAGAGAAGAGAGCAAGUGAAGGGGAGGAAAAUGAGAGGAGAAAUUCUCCCCUUGCGCUCACAAGUCGCAACACCAUCCUCCCAAAUUUACAAGGCAAAUGGGGUAAAAAUGGGUAAAAAUUACUAGUUUGCCCAUAAUACAAUUUUGGGAGGAAAUUAGUGUGAAAUGAGUAAAAUUAACCCUUUGUUCAUAAUGCAAUUUGAGAGAGAGAGAGAGA
rnacentral:misc_RNA from 1 species